CCCCCUUGCUUCUCUAAGCACCAGGGAUGCACUAAAGCUUCUACGUAACCUUUACUUGCACCUUCAACACCUGAAAUGGUUUGUAGUGAAAUAAUUUUUCCCUGUGAUGGUUAAUUAACUUAGCAGCUUGACUGCGCGCCGAGAUGUUCAUGGUUUAGUAACUCAGUCGUGUCCGACUCUCUCGACCCCGUGGACUGUAGCCCGCCAGGCUCCUCUAUCCUUGGGAUUCUCCAGGCAAGAACACGAGUGGGUUGCUGUUUCCUCAUAUAAGCUGGUUAAACAUUACUUUCGGGUGUCCGUGAGGGCGUUCCCGGGUGUCUGUGUGUUCCUGGGUGUGUGAGGGUGUUCCCGGGUGUCUGUGAGGGCGUCUCCGGGUGUCUGCGAGGGUGUUUCCGGGAGAGAGAAGUAUUGGAGUCGGUGGGCGGAGUAAUGCACACCAUCCUCUGCACGCGGAUGGGCCCAGCCUCCCAACCUGUUGAGAACCUGAAUAGAACAGAAAGGCUACCUCCCUCCUGACAGCUGGGAAUGACAUCCGGGUGGUGAAGAGGGGCACCCCGGCCCGGCUACGGCUCCCCGACAGCCCGCCAUCGGCCCCCACGGUGCUGAAUCGGAGGCUCUCGUCGAGGGGCCUGGAUCCCAUCCUGGUUACUGCAAAUGGGCAUGUUCUUUCCAGCCGGAUGUUCUACGUUUUUUAAGCACUUUUAUUCCAAGUAGGGCCCAAGACCAAUGUUGUCCAUUAAAGGUGACUCUCUUCUGGCAAGAAACAAGAACUUGAGCAAGAACUCUCAGGACUGGAAGGGAAAAGUUGAGAAACAGUAGAAAAUGCGUCCCUGGCAGCCUGGUGCAGAGCGGAGCAGCCCAGCGCCGACACCCCUGCGGCACUAGAGGGCGGGGCAGAGAAGCGGCGAAGCGCCAGGCGCCAGAGCCCGCCAGGGGGAGCUGGGUAUUUCCGAGCUGUCCGCCCAGGGUAUUCACCAAUUCUUUGUUGUUCAGUCCGUAAGUCGUGUGAGACUCUUUGCGACCCCAUGGACUGCAGUCCGCCAGGCUUCCCUGUCCUUUACUAGCUCCCGGAGCUUGCUCAAACUCAUGUACAUCGAGUUGGUGAUGCCAUCCAACCAUCUCAUCCUCUGUCGUCCCCUUCUCCUUCUGCCUUCAAUCUUUCCCAGCAUCAGGGUCUUUUCCAACCAGUCUGCUCUUCGCAUCAGGUGGCCAAAGUGUUGGAGCUUCAGCUUCAGCAUCAGUCUUUCCAAUGAAUAUUCAGGGUUGAUUUCCUUUUUGACUGAUUUGAUCUCCUUGCUGUUUGAGACUCUCAGGAGUCUUUUCACAGUUCAAAAGCAUUGAUUCUUCAGUGUUCAGCCUUCCUUCUGGUCCAACCUCUUACAUCCAUUCAUGAUGUAACCCCCAAAA
ensembl:lncRNA